rnacentral:rRNA from 1 species
CCGGCGCACGGGUGAGUAACACGUAUCCAACCUGCCGUCUACUCUUGGCCAGCCUUCUGAAAGGAAGAUUAAUCCAGGAUGGCAUCAUGGGUUCACAUGUCCGCAUGAUUAAAGGUAUUUUCCGGUAGACGAUGGGGAUGCGUUCCAUUAGAUAGUAGGCGGGGUAACGGCCCACCUAGUCUUCGAUGGGUAGGGGUUCUGAGAGGAAGGUCCCCCACAUUGGAACUGAGACACGGUCCAA